rnacentral:sRNA from 1 species
ACUUAAACAAACAAAUGCAAAAACGAAAUAGAUUAAGAGUAAUUAAAGUUUCAACAUUCAUAAACACAAAGAAAAACUAAUAGAUAAAGCAUAGAUCCUUUGGACAAAUCCCAAAGUGAUCUAUUUAUACUAAAAUGUUGAAACCCUAGAUUCACUAGAAGACAAGAGACUUGAGGCGGUUUGGGCGAAUACUCGACCUUGGGGAUCGAGUAAAGAGGGUGCUGCAAAGUCUGCGCCUUUGUGUCUAUGCUCCGAGUGAUCAAUUGGUCGACUAGAUGCUUCAUCCUCUCCUAUCUGUAUGCUCAUAUGUCUGGUUGAGUGGGGAAUGAGGAGGAUCCGAAGACGCUUUGAUAGCUCAACAAGUCUUGUAGAGAUGGUCACCCUUGGUCGAGUAUAUGGAUCGAGUAGUUGAUCGAGUAGGAGGGGCGAGUAGAUGAAUCUGCUGCUUCAUCUGAGGUUACCUUGAUCGAUUAAGAGGGUCGAGUAAACUUU